rnacentral:rRNA from 1 species
GACGAACGCUGGCGGCGUGCUUAACACAUGCAAGUCGAACGAAGUGGCGAACGGGUGAGUAACGCGUAAUCAACCUGCCCUUCAGAGGGGGACAACAGUUGGACACGACUGCUAAUACCGCAUACUGAAGGGGGGGAUUGCGUCUGAUUAGCUAGUUGGAGGGGUAACGGCCCAACAAGGCGAUGAUCAGUAGCAGGUCUGGGAGGCGGAAAGGGCACAUUGGGACUUGGGCACGGCCCAGACUCCUACGGGAGGCAGCAGUGGGGAAGCUUCCGCAAUGGAGGAAAGUCUGACGGAGCAACGCCGCGUGAGUGAUGACGGCCUUCGGGUUGGAAAGCUCUGUUAAGCGGGACGCGGUACCGGAAUAGAAAGCCACGGCUAACUACGUGCCAGCAGCCGCGGUAAUUC